GAGGCCGUACGGCCAAAGAGCUGUCCUUAAGUUUGCACAAUACACUGGUGCUCAUCCUAUCGCGGGUAGGCACACGCCUGGAACCUUCACCAAUCAGCUUCAAACAUCCUUCAGUGAGCCUCGCCUUCUUAUCCUUACUGAUCCUAGAACGGACCAUCAGGUGAAUAUAUCAGUGCUACAAGUUUCUAUAUUAGGCCAAUAUAGUGCUUGUUGACUCUCAGGUUGUGUUGCCAACAGCCAAUUAAGGAAUCAGCUCUGGGAAAUAUACCGACUAUUGCCUUCUGUGACACUGACUCUCCCAUGCGAUAUGUCGAUAUCGGGAUUCCCGCGAACAACAAAGGAAAGCACAGCAUUGGCUGCCUCUUCUGGCUGCUGGCAAGGAUGGUUCUGCAGAUGCGGGGCACAAUCCUUCCUGGG
rnacentral:lncRNA from 1 species